ACUACAUUAGUCUAUUACAAUCGUUACAUUAUACUACAGCCCAAAUAAGCCUACUACUGCCUACAAUUACAAUACAUAAUAUGCUACUCUUUGUUGAUAUGCUUCACACCUUCGGACUUGGAUUCACACUUCACGUAUGCAAAAAAUAAGAAUGAACAUAUAAGAAUAAGAAUCUGUCGAGAACAUGAAACAAUGGUCAAUGAGGGAUCCAAUAACUUAGAAGCAAGAAUUGACAGCAAAUGAAAUGUACAUAAAUAGUAUGACUAACAUUAAUUAGUAUGUGUUUAUGGAGCGGCUAAAAUCUUCUCAAACUAGCUAGGAUUUUUUUAUGUAUAGUAUACUCACAUGUGCAACUCUAAUUAAAUUGAUCAUGGAAAUGAAAAAAGAAACCAGGCACUC
rnacentral:lncRNA from 1 species